CUUGUAACUCUCCUCAGUGAACAAUUCCACAUACUUUGCAUAUCCAUUAUUCAAACAAUGAAGACAGUUACUUGGUUCUUCCUGAUAUACUUGAUCUGUUGUGAGGCGGCUAGCUGCUUAACUAUGGCAGCACAAACCAACCUUAACAUCACCACAGACCGGUAUGCUCCUCUUGCUCUCAAAGCCUGUAUCACCAAUGACCCUCAAAACAUAGUCUUCACCAACUGGUCAACCACAACCCCUGUUUGUAACUGGGUUGGAGUCACUUAUGGUGCAAGCCAUCAUCGAAUCGCAGAGUUGAACGUAUCUUACUUUGGUCUCACAUGCACCAUUCCUUGGGAACUAGGCAACUUAUCUUUUCUUGUUGUUCUGGACUUCAAAAAUAAUAGUUUUCAUGGUAUCUUGCCUCAAGAAUUGGCUUGCCUGCGUCGGUUGAAGUUUAUAAGCUUGAGAAACAACAGGUUCAUGGGAGUCAUUCCAUCAUGGUUUGGCUCCUUAUUCAAACUUCAAGUAUUCAAUUUGUUUGGUAAUCAAUUUUCAGGUUCCAUACCAGCUACAAUCUUCAACUUAUCUGCUCUGCAAAAAAUUGAUCUGAGUUAUAACCAACUCUCAGGUAUGAACUAAACUAUCUAUCACCAAGUUAUUUGGAACCCUAACCUAUUACCACCUUAAUUAGCUAGCAUGUUAAGGUACAAUAUAUGCUUAUUUUUUUUAAGUAAUAAUUAUUGCAUAGCAAGAGCAAUUGGAGACCUAACAAUGUUAUAGGAGAUAUACCUUUAUGGUAACAAUUUCGUAGGUAGGUCACAAAUCGGUUUUGUAGGAUUAACCAAAGAGCAAAUAACUGUGCAUAUACCCAAUACUUGAAACUUCAAUCAAACAUCUUGUAUGGAGAUGAUCAACUAUAAUAUAUGAUUGUUAGUUCUUAAGAAAUACCAAAUGAGAUUGGCUUUAGAUCACUUGGAGAAGUAGUUAGUGAACUUCAACGCCUUAAUUAAAUGGAGUAUUCUUAUAGCUGUCUUCAACAUGUCUCCUUUGAUUAUUUUGAGUCUACAUGAAAACAACUUGACUGGAAGUCUUUUGGACAAUAUAUGUCAGCAUCUUCAGAACAUUCAAAAGUUGGCUUUUUCUUACAACUAGCUUGACGGUCCACUUCCAUCCAAAUGGUCGCAAUGUAAACCACUUUUUUUUAUUAUAUAACAUACCCAUUAAUAUUCAUCACUUAACCCAGAUAAAAACGAUUGAUAUUAGCUCGAACUAUUUGACAGGUAUUCGUAAAAUCAGUUGCAUAUUUUUAAUAAUCAUCUUAUUUUGUUCUUAUAUAUCAUGAUUUGUUCCCAAGUAACCAAUGUGUGGUAAUGAUUAGAAGUCUUCUCAAUUAUAUAUGAUUGACACCCUAGCUUGUUAAGGUAAGGAGAUCGAUAUCUAAUAAAUAGUUAUUAACACGUAGAAUAUCUAGAGAAAUCGGGAACCUAACAAUGUUGAAGGAGAUCUACCUUGAUAGUAAUAAUUUUGAAGGUAUGACUUCCAUCAAUUUUGUUGAUUAAAAUGGAUAAUUAGUUACCUUGCGUGUCCCAUAUUUAAAUUUUUUUAUUCUUGUUGAAUAGCACGAAGUAUAUCAUAUCUCUUAUAUCAGUUGGAAUGUGUGUUGAUUUUUUAGAAAUUCCAAAUGAGAUCGGCACUUUGAAUCAUCUGGAAAAAUUGUUUGUGCAAUACAAUGUCUUAAAAGGGCCUAUCCCUAUGACUAUCUUCAACAUGUCAUCUUUGAUUACUGUAACUUUCUAUGGUAACAAUUUGACUGGUAGAAUUCCUGACAAUAUUUGUCAAAAUCUUUCUAAUAUUCAAGAGUUGAAUUUGGGUGCCAAUCAGUUUAAUGGUCCACUUCCUUCCAUAUUUGGGCAAUGCAAACAACUUCUUCAAUUAAACUUGAAGCUUAACAGCUUGACAGGUAUUCAUAAUAUCAAUUGCAUAUAUUUAAUCACUUAAUAUUUUUAUAAUCCGGUUCAGCAAAUCAAUUCAAAAGAUGAUGAUUAUUUCAUAGUUUGAUAAUCAUAUUGUAUAUAUUGUUCCUAUCUAUAAUGAUUUAGACACAUUUGUAACCGUUUUACAUUUGUGUACUGUAGUAAUCAUUCUGUAUUUGACAAAAUUUAUAAAGCAGCAUUACUAAUUUUCUAAUUGAAUUUUAUAACUAUUUAUUUUCUCUUCUCCCCCUGUUUUUUUUUUCUCUCAAUUUUAUCUCUCUCCUCACUUUCCAUGUUCAGAAAAAGAAAAGCAAGAAAUAAAAAUAAAAUAAAAAAUAAAAAUUUUCUCACGUGGUUUUUCUAGUAUAUGGAAUAAUGCCAGGGUGUUGAUAUAACUGUUGCAGGUCCUAUACCAUAUGGGAAUCAACUCUCUGGUUCUGUACCUUCCUGCUUGGGUAAUCUAACAGCAUCUCUUAGAUAUCUAUCCUUAGAAUCCAAUUGUUGAAUUCCACAAUCCCAUCUUCCUUGUGGGGACUUACAGAUAUCUUGGAACUAGACUUGUCAUCCAAUUCUCUAAUUGGACCUCUAUCAGGUGUUGCAUACAUAGAUGUAUCAUACAACCAAUUAUCUGGUAGUAUACCAAGCAGCGUUGAGAGUUUAUUGAAGGCCCUAUUCCUAGUUCCUUUGCUACCUGCUUAAGCUUAGAACUGUUGAAUUUAUCUCAGAACAGUCUCUCUGGUGUGAUUCCAAAGUCUCUUGAAGCACUCUCAUAUCUCAAGUACUUAAAUUUGUCUUUCAACAGACUCCAAGGAGAAAUUCCAAGCGGUGGUCCUUUCAUAAACUUCUCUGCUGAAUCAUUUGUUUCAAACCAUGGACUCUGUGGUGGAUCCCAAUUUCAAGUUCCACCAUGCAAAAGAAAAACUAGCAUAACUAUCUUGAAGUAUGUUAUUCUGGGGAUCUUGUCAUGCUUCUAGCGGCCUCCAUAUUUUGGAUGUUGAUGUUACGCAGAAAAAAGAAUGCAACAGCUGCAGCACAUAUUAUCUUGAUGCCUCAAGUUUUACGCAGAAGGGUUUCAUACCAAGAGCUCCUAUGUGCGACAGAUGGAUUCAAUGAAAGCAACUUACUUGGUAUUGGGGGUUUUGGCUCAGUAUAUAAAGGAACAUUUCCAGAUGAGACAGAUGUUGCAAUAAAGGUUUUCAAUUUGGAUUUAGAAGGGGCAUUUGCAAGUUUUGAGGUUGAAUGUGAAAUGCUAAGUAAUGUUCAUCACAGAAAUCUUGUCAAAGUCAUCAGUUGUUGUAGUCAAAUUGAUUUCAAAGGUCUUGUAUUGAAUUACAUGCCUAAUGGGAGCCAUGAGAAGUGGUUGUAUUCUCAGAGUUCUUCUUUGGACUUAGUGCAGAGGUUGGAUAUAAUGAUAGAUGUUGCAUCAGCAUUGGAGUACCUUCACCAUGAUUAAUUAUGAAGUACCUAUUGUAAUUGUCCAUUGCGAUUUGAAGCCGAGCAACAUCUUACUAGAUGAUGAUAUGGUUGCACAUGUUGCUGAUUUUGGUAUUGCGAGACUCUUGGGUGGAGGAGAUUCUAUGACUCAAACCAUGACCCUGGCCACAAUUGGGUAUAUUGCUCCAGAGUAUGGAAUGGAAGGAAUAGUGACCAGAAGAGGGGAUGUGUAUAGUUUCGGUAUUGUAGUGAUGGAAACAUUUACAAGAAGGAAACCAACUGAUGAGAUCUUCAUUGGGGAAAUGAGAUUAAGUCAAUGGGAACCCUGCCUCACCUAGUUGCAAAUGCGAUAGCUGAUGUUGUGGAUGCUACUUUACUUGGAACCGAGGAGGAUCAUGAGUUCGUGAGCAAGAGGGAGUGCUUAUCAUCUAUUAUGAGAUUAGCUGUUGCUUGUUCAGCAGAAUCACCGGAAGAGAGGAUAAACAUGCAAGAGGCUGUAGCCAUGCUUAAAACAAUCAAGAUCAAGUUUUCAAAGCACACUGCAGCAGGAGAAGACUGAUUGCAAAUUGAAUGAAGUGUGUUCUAGAAAGCCACACAUCUCAGAGAGCAUGAUAAUCGGCUUCAGUGCGUGAAGAAGUAGUCUCAUUUUGUUGUCUGACACCUAUUGUCUCUUAAAAACCUGACACUGAUUCGUUGCUCUAAGCUCCAUUACUUGCCAAUUGCAAAACUUGUGAAUAUCCUUUGCUAGACCAAUGCCGGUGAAACCUUCAUAUUGCAAAUGGCUCUGAACAGCAGGCAUCAUCAACCUCAAUAUGCUAUCUGGAGGCCAAAGAAGGCUAAAGCUGGAGAGGAGAAAUAAUACAUUGAUAUGGGAAAGCUUCUGAAAAUGAAGCUAGAAGAGGUUUCAGGUAGGACCAUGGAGGUAUUGGUGGAUGUGGUUUCUUAGUUCGGCAGGGCUGUCCAUCUUCUCCUGUACUGAGUUGUACGAUGAAGGGGUGAACAAAAUAGCCAGGAGAUUGCCUGUGAGAUGGAAGCAACUGCUGCUGCCUACCACAUUUUCCUUAAUGUUUCUCUGCUUGGUUCCAAGUGCAUUGAGGAGGAGGACCUCAUGAGGUUCAUGAUUGAGGAAGAGGUGGAAGUUGCAUUUUUGCUGAAGAUCUCUAAAAGAUUAGCUGGUGAAGGUCUACAACGCUCGCAGAAGGAUGAAUUCAUAGUUUAAAUGACACCAAAAAAAGCUGUAAAGCAAUUGGAUAAAUUGUGAUUAGCAUCUUGAUUGUUAUUAGCAUUGUAUUGUGGCUUCUGUUGGUGGAAAUCGCAACCACAAAAGUACAAGUCUUCCUCUCUUUCGGAGCUCGUAUUGGAAAUCACAACCAACUGAUGAGAAUUUUGGAAAAGCUAAACAUCACAUGCUCUGUGCAGCCCCCACAGAGUUAAUCUCAAUUGAACUAAAUCCGGUGCUGGAUGAUCAUUUCAAUCAUAGGUAUGCAUUGCAAGCUAGCCUAGGAUUUAUGAGGUGUCAGGUUGUUGUACUCCAAUCAUUGUACCAUUAUAUGCCAUUGUUGUGUUACCUCAGCAAUCUAAUCAUGUAAUGCAGCAUAUUCUUUAUCAUGAUGUUUCACAUAUGAAUUAAGCUUGUUUAGGAAGCACAAGAAUGUUUAGCUAGUGUAAGCUCCUCAUCUGAUAAUCUCAGUGAUUGCUUUCAAUGGAGAACCAAAAUUGCAACUUUCUCGGUGGUGGGAAGAUUGCAAUUUCUUCUGUAAUGCAGGACAAAGGACAGUAGAUACCAGAAACCAUUGAUGAGAGGGAAUCAUGAUAAAACAUGAAAUUGUUGGCUCUGAAUAUUAUGCAUGAAAUUCUUGAGUAUGCUAAAUCUUGUUGUUUUGUUCUGAGUACUUGUUGCCAGAUGGGUGGGGAGUUAGACAAUUUGGGAAUUAAAUGUUUCAGCUAUGUUUAUUAGUUUGUGAUAUAUUUUUGGUCAAUACCAUAACAGCUAUGUUUACUAGGAUCUAAUAUAUGGUCUCGU